rnacentral:misc_RNA from 1 species
GAUGAAGAACGCAGUGAAAUGCGAUAAGUAAUGUGAAUUGCAGAAUUCAGUGAAUCAUCGAAUCUUUGAACGCACAUUGCGCCCCCUGGUAUUCCGAGGGGCAUGCCUGUUCGAGCGUCAUUAUAACCCCUCAAGCUCAGCUUGGUGUUGGGGCCUGCUGCACUGGCAGCCCUUAAAAUCAGUGGCGGCGCCAUCUGGCUCUAAGCGUAGUAAUUCUUCUCGCUAUGGAGUCCUGGUGGAUGCUUGCCAUCAACCCCCAAUUUUUCUAUGGUUGACCUCGGAUCAGGUAGGGAUACCCGCUGAACUUAAGCAUAUCAAUAAGCGGAGGA